CUCGUAGGCGGCUUGUCGCGUCUGCUGUGAAAACCCCGGAGCUCAACUCCGGGCCUGCAGUGGGUACGGGCAGGCUAGAGUGCGGUAGGGGAGAUUGGAAUUCCUGGUGUAGCGGUGGAAUGCGCAGAUAUCAGGAGGAACACCGAUGGCGAAGGCAGAUCUCUGGGCCGCUACUGACGCUGAGGAGCGAAAGCAUGGGAGCGAACA
rnacentral:rRNA from 1 species